GCAUGGUAGGAGAGCGUUCCGUAAGCCUGCGAAGGUGCGUUGAAAAGCGUGCUGGAGGUAUCGGAAGUGCGAAUGCUGACAUGAGUAGCGAUAAAGGGGGUGAAAGGCCCCCUCGCCGUAAGCCCAAGGUUUCCUACGCAACGUUCAUCGGCGUAGGGUGAGUCGGCCCCUAAGGCGAGGCAGAAAUGCGUAGCUGAUGGGAAGCAGGUCAAUAUUCCUGCACCGGCGUGAAAUGCGAUGGGGGGACGGAUCGCGGAAGGUUGUCCGGGUGUUGGAAGUCCCGGUCGCUGCAUUGGAGAGGGUAGCCUGGCAAAUCCGGCUACAGGACUCAAGGGUGUGGCGCGAGCUUCUUCGGAAGCGAAGCAACUGGAAGGGGUUCCAGGAAAAGCCUCUAAGCUUCAGUUUCACGUUGACCGUACCGCAAACCGACACAGGUGGGCGAGAUGAGUAUUCUAAGGCGCUUGAGAGAACUCGGGAGAAGGAACUCGGCAAAUUGGUACCGUAACUUCGGGAUAAGGUACGCCCUGGUAGCUUGAUGCGCCUGCGCGCAGAGGGUGAAGGGGUUGCAAUAAACUGGUGGCUGCGACUGUUUAAUAAAAACACAGCACUCUGCAAACACGAAAGUGGACGUAUAGGGUGUGACGCCUGCCCGGUGCCGGAAGAUUAAAUGAUGGGGUGCAAGCUCUUGAUUGAAGUCCCGGUAAACGGCGGCCGUAACUAUAACGGUCCUAAGGUAGCGAAAUUCCUUGUCGGGUAAGUUCCGACCUGCACGAAUGGCGUAACGAUGGCCACACUGUCUCCUCCCGAGACUCAGCGAAGUUGAAGUGUUUGUGAUGAUGCAAUCUCCCCGCGGCUAGACGGAAAGACCCCAUGAACCUUUACUGUAGCUUUGCAUUGGACUUUGAACCGGUUUGUGUAGGAUAGGUGGGAGGCUGUGAAGCGGGAACGCUAGUUUCCGUGGAGCCGUCCUUGAAAUACCACCCUGAUCUGUUUGAGGUUCUAACCUUGGCCCGUGAUCCGGGUCGGGGACAGUGCAUGGUAGGCAGUUUGACUGGGGCGGUCUCCUCCCAAAGGGUAACGGAGGAGUACGAAGGUACGCUAGGUACGGUCGGAAAUCGUGCUGAUAGUGCAAUGGCAUAAGCGUGCUUGACUGUGAGACUCACAAGUCGAACAGGUGCGAAAGCAGGUCAUAGUGAUCCGGUGGUUCUGUAUGGAAGGGCCAUCGCUCAACGGAUAAAAGGUACUCUGGGGAUAACAGGCUGAUACCGCCCAAGAGUUCAUAUCGACGGCGGUGUUUGGCACCUCGAUGUCGGCUCAUCUCAUCCUGGGGCUGUAGCCGGUCCCAAGGGUAUGGCUGUUCGCCAUUUAAAGAGGUACGUGAGCUGGGUUUAAAACGUCGUGAGACAGUUUGGUCCCUAUCUGCCGUGGGCGCUGGAAGUUUGAGGGGGCCUGCUCCUAGUACGAGAGGACCGGAGUGGACGAACCUCUGGUGUACCGGUUGUGACGCCAGUCGCAUCGCCGGGUAGCUAUGUUCGGAAGAGAUAACCGCUGAAAGCAUCUAAGCGGGAAACUCGCC
rnacentral:rRNA from 1 species